GUGGGUAGAGCUCAGUAGUAGAGCACGUGCUUAGUAUGCACAAUGUCCUGGGUUCAAUCCCCAGUGCCUCCA
rfam:Camelus ferus unplaced genomic scaffold scaffold153, whole genome shotgun sequence.